UAAAGUGCGAAAUGAAGUGCGAUUUGCAUUACCUGUGAGUCAUCAUAUUUUUGAACGCAACUUGCGCCGAGUGAUCGGCAUGUCUGUUUGAGAACCGCGUAAAAAUGUAAGCGAGUUGGCCUUGGCAUUGUGCCUCGGCUGGAAAUACGCAAGAGGGGAGGAUCCUGGGCGCUGUGAGUUGGAGCCUCGGCUUGUCGCAGUGGCCGGUAUUCCGUCCCAAAAAUACUAAACUAUUGGUCUCAAAUCAGGCAAGACGACCCGCUGAACUUAA
rnacentral:misc_RNA from 1 species